UUUACCUUUAGGAGGGGGACAACAGCUGGAAACGAAUGCUAAUACCCCAUAUGCUUUCGAGUGAAAUGGAUUUAUAUUUUCCGCCUAGAGAGAAGCUCGCGGCUGAUUAGCUUGUUGGUAAGGUAAGAGCUUACCAAGGCGACGAUCAGUAUCUGGUUUGAGAGGACGAUCAGACACACUGGAACUGAGACACGGUCCAGACUCCUACGGGAGGCAGCAGUGGGGAAUUUUCCGCAAUGGGCGAAAGCCUGACGGAGCAAUACCGCGUGAGGGAAGACUGCCUAUGGGUUGUAAACCUCUUUUUCCAGGGAGGAAUAAAUGACGUGUACCUGAAGAAUAAGCAUCGGCUAACUCCGUGCCAGCAGCCGCGGUAAGACGGAGGAUGCAAGUGUUAUCCGGAAUCACUGGGCGUAAAGCGUCUGUAGGUGGUUUAAUAAGUCAACUGUUAAAUCUUGAGGCUCAACUUCAAAAUCGCAGUCGAAACUAUUA
rnacentral:rRNA from 1 species